UACGUAGGCAGCGAGCGUUGUUCGGAAUUACUGGGCGUAAAGAGUGUGUAGGCGGUGCUCUAAGUUCGGUGUGAAAUCUCCCGGCUUAACUGGGAGGGUGCGCCGGAAACUGGAGUGCUCGAGCGUGGGAGAGGAAAGCGGAAUUCCUGGUGUAGCGGUGAAAUGCGUAGAUAUCAGGAGGAACACCUGCGGUGUAGACGGCUUUCUGGACCAUUGCUGACGCUAAGACGCGAAAGCGUGGGGAGCAAACAGG
rnacentral:rRNA from 1 species